UACGAACUGUGCGAACGUUAUUCGGAAUCACUGGGCCUAAAGAGCGCGUAGGCGGCGUUGUCAGUUGGAGGUGAAAUCCCACGGCUCAACCGUGGAACUGCCCCCAAUACUGCAAUGCUUGAGGAAGGUAGGGGUUUGUGGAACUUCUGGUGGAGCGGUGAAAUGUGUUGAGAUCGGAAGGAACGCCGGCGGCGAAAGCGACAAACUGGAUCUUCUCUGACGCUGAGGCGCGAAAGCUAGGGGAGCGAACGGG
rnacentral:misc_RNA from 1 species